rnacentral:rRNA from 1 species
UCGGGAAUUUUGGGCAAUGGGCGCAAGCCUGAUCCAGCCAUGCCGCGUGUGUGAAGAAGGCCUUCGGGUUGUAAAGCACUUUCAGACGGAACGAAAUCGCGCGGUUGAACAUUCCGCGUGGAUGACGGUACCGUAAGAAGAAGCACCGGCUAACUACGUGCCAGCAGCCGCGGUAAUACGUAGGGUGCGAGCGUUAAUCGGAAUUACUGGGCGUAAAGAGCGUGUAGGCGGCUGACCAAGUCCGGUGUGAAAGCCCGGGGCUUACCCCCGGAAGUGCGCUGGAAACUGGUCGACUAGAGUAUGGGAGAGGGAAGUGGAAUUCCUGGUGUAGCGGUGAAAUGCGUAGAUAUCAGGAGGAACACCGGCGGCGAAGGCGGCUUCCUGGUUGGAUACUGACGCUGAGACGCGAAAGCGUGGGGAGCAAACAGGAUUAGAUACCCCAGUAGUCCCUGAGCGGGCUGGCAAGGCGCAU